rnacentral:rRNA from 1 species
GAACCUGCACAAUCAGUGGAUCAUGUGGUUUAAUCUGAUGCAACACGAAGAACCUUACCAGGUUUUGACAUGCCCAGAAUAUCUUAGAAAUAAGAUAGUGUUAAUAAACUAAGUCUAUUAAAACUGGGACACAGGUGGUGCAUGGCUGUCGUCAGCUCGUGCGUUGACGUGUAUGGUUAAGUCCUGCAACGAGCGCAACCCUCGUCUUUAGUUAUUUACUCUAAAGAGACUGCUUACGUAAGUUUGAGGAAGGUGGGGAUUACGUCAAGUCAUCAUGCCCCUUAUAACCUGGGCUACACACGUGAUACAAUGGUUGGGACAAUGAGAAGCAACUCCGCGAGGACUAGCGAAUCUACAAACCCAGCCCCAGUUCGGAUUGCAGGCUGCAACUCGCCUGCAUGAAGUUGGAAUUGAUAGUAAUCGCCAGUCAGCUAUAUGGCGGUGAAUAUGUCACCAGGUUUU